AGGGUAAUUUGCAUAUUUUCAGGGGUGCUCAGAGAGUUCUAAAUCGAAUGUGCCGCUUGUGUUGAGGAAGGAGAGAGGUGGAGUGGAGGAGCAGCAUAGACCUCUAUGCAAAUGUUUCAAACCUGAGCCUCCCUCCAGAGAUGUUGCACUGGGACCUAAACUAUGGGAGAGUUUGAAAAAAUUAGAGUAAUGCCUGUGUAAAACAAGAGUGGCCCUUGAGAUGUCCAACAGAUACACGGAGUGCUCUGGUGACUCUACUCAAAGUGCACUUCUAUCCCCCAAAAUAUCCUCCCCAAAACGGGAGAUUCAUGGUGCACGUUGAGACGUGGAACGAACGUUCACUUGACACAGUGACGGCAAUAAUGAAGGAGAUACUUCCUCCCUGUCUCCAUCCCUGCGCCUGAAGAAAUGUAAAGGUGAAAAGCAUGUGCGUUUCCUUCCGGAUGAGGAGAUUAUGUGAGGCUUGGCUGAGCGAAAGGACUUGAGCAAUGGGAGAGCUGAUGUCCUCUUUGUCUUCUCAUCCUUGAUGCCUCUGAGUAAGGAAUGCAUUUUUGAGAGAACUUUUAGGGAGUAAUAUAGGCUCCCUCAUAGGGUAUUGAUCUCAAAUUGACAAGCCUAUUAGACUAGUUGUUGUAUAGGCCUGUGGGCAUAUUGUUGUUCUGUGGAGGGCUGAUGACAUGUAGGCCUAACACUGAACAUUUUUACACUCUGCUCAUUGAAAAGUUGGACAUUUUACAUUAUUUUCAUUCAUCUGACUCCUGAUUUGUAUUCUUGCCCUUCUAGCUUUCCCUCCCUGUUAUCCCCUCCCUCUUUUAUUUAUCAGUGAUUUGCAUAAACAUUGUAACCAACACAGAAUCACAGCAGUAUCUCCUAGUGACCUAAAUGUUUUGUAGUAAAUUAAUUAAUUACUGUAGAUAACUUUUAAUUAAUGGCCAGGAUUGGCACACCCUGAGGCACACACACACACACACACCUUUCUUAUCACAUUCAAGAUAAGUGUUGUUAUUGGUUUAGAGGGAGCUGUCGUUCUCUGGAUAGACCGACCUACAGUAUGUUUACAUAACCAUUGAAAUGACUAUGGAGGCCAUUGUCAUGUUAUGUUUUUUUGUUUUUGUGAUGAAUGCUGUGAAAUACAUUGUUUAUAUGCGAUACAUCAUUUGUGUCACACUAAAGUUUUAUCAAGUUUGAGACAGUCAGUGAGUCAAGUGUUCGCAUCUGCAAGUCCUAUAGGCCUAGGUACAUCUGUUAGACUCACUCCAUAAGAAAGGCAUCUGUGAUGAAUUUGAUCACUUGAUUGUUUGAUUUCUAAGGCAGACACUUAUCCUCGCUACCCGUCCCACUCCCGAAUGACUUCCAUCUUCUCCCUUCCCCACAGUCAGUCAAUCAGAUGGGUACAGACUGCGUUCCAAAUGGAACCCCAUGUGUUUGAUGUAUUUGAUACCAUUCCACUUGUUCUUCGAGCCUGUACUCUCCAAUUAAGGUGCCACAGCCCUCCUAUGCUUUCAACAUGCCACUGAAAAAGUCGAAAGCUGCAAUUCAUUUGAUCAUAUCUGAAAAUACUGCAGAGUAAUUCAAAACCAUUUGCAAACAUUGCAAACACCAAGUUGGAUUCUUAGCAAAAACAACUUUGAAUCUCUUUGACCAUCUGAGGGUAAUUGUUCUUGUUUCAAACACACACGAUACCAUCGAUCAAGGAGUAGUUUACUCAGAAUACAAACUAACAUGAUUUUCCCACCGAAAGCAGGUUUGGUAUAUGUUUCCCUUUGACACUUAACAGCCAUAUUUUGUUACUAUUAGCAUUCUCAGUAACACUUGAAAUAAAAUGGUUCUUGUGCCUGUGUAAUGAAAUUGGAAUUACUUUUUGAGCAACAUUUUAUUAGCAUGUUGUUUCAUAAUACUUUGGUAAUUGCAUUUUAAUUGCAUUGCAAGGAGCUGAGAGUUUUUGUAACUACUGUACAUGAGGAAUAGUUACUGUUCCUUAUUCCACUGAUGUAAUUAUUAUGCAGUUAUAUUAUUAUGCAGUUAUAAAGCAAUUUCCAAAGUCCUAUGUAACAACGUUGAUAUUGUAAUAAUCACAAAGUUACUAGACAUGUAUAUGAACUUGAUGUGAUGUGUUACUGUAUUACCUUAUGUCACUCAUUAUGAAAAUAUAUUUGUUCGUCAUUUUGAAGCUGCAAAA